GAUGAACGCUGGCGGCGUGCCUAAUACAUGCAAGUCGAGCGAACAGACGAGGAGCUUGCUCCUCUGACGUUAGCGGCGGACGGGUGAGUAACACGUGGAUAACCUACCUAUAAGACUGGGAUAACUUCGGGAAACCGGAGCUAAUACCGGAUAAUAUAUUGAACCGCAUGGUUCAAUAGUGAAAGACCGUUUUGCUGUCACUUAUAGAUGGAUCCGCGCCGCAUUAGCUAGUUGGUAAGGUAACGGCUUACCAAGGCGACGAUGCGUAGCCGACCUGAGAGGGUGAUCGGCCACACUGGAACUGAGACACGGUCCAGACUCCUACGGGAGGCAGCAGUAGGGAAUCUUCCGCAAAGGGCGAAAGCCUGACGGAGCAACGCCGCGUGAGUGAUGAAGGUCUUCGGAUCGUAAAACUCUGUUAUUAGGGAAGAACAAAUGUGUAAGUAACUAUGCACGUCUUGACGGUACCUAAUCAGAAAGCCACGGCUAACUACGUG
rnacentral:rRNA from 1 species